AACAAACGUUGGCGGCGUGCCUAAUACAUGCAAGUCGAACGGGGAAAGUAGCAAUACGAGUACUAGUGGCGCACGGGUGAGGAAUACAUGGGUAAUCUGCCCUCGAGUUUGGGAUAACCAGUCGAAAGAUUGGCUAAUACCGGAUAUGACCACAGGAUCUGCGGAUCUAGGGGUAAAAGGUUUUUCGCUCGAGGAUGAGCCCAUGUGGGAUUAGCUAGUUGGUGAGGUAACGGCUCACCAAGGCGACGAUCCCUAACUGGUCUUAGAGGAUGAUCAGUCACACUGGAACUGAGACACGGUCCAGACUCCUACGGGAGGCAGCAGUAGGGAAUAUUGCACAAUGGAGGAAACUCUGAUGCAGCGACGCCGCGUGAGUGAUGAAGGCCUUCGGGUCGUAGAGCUCUGUCGUAUGGGACUAACACAAUGAAGGUACCAUGCAAGAAAGGAUCGGCUAACUUCGUGCCAGCAGCCGCAGUAA
rnacentral:rRNA from 1 species